GAAAGCAGGGGAUCGUAAGACCUUGCGCUUUUGGAGCGGCCGAUGUCUGAUUAGCUAGUUGGUGGGGUAAUGGCCUACCAAAGCUUCGAUCAGUAGCUGGUCUGAGAGGACGGCCAGCCACACUGGGACUGAGACACGGCCCAGACUCCUACGGGAGGCAGCAGUGGGGAAUUUUGGACAAUGGGCGCAAGCCUGAUCCAGCCAUGCCGCGUGAGUGAAGAAGGCCUUCGGGUUGUAAAGCUCUUUCAGCCGGGAAGAAAAGGCUGCGACUAAUAAUCGCAGUUCAUGACGGUACCGGAAGAAGAAGCACCGGCUAACUACGUGCCAGCAGCCGCGGUAAUACGUAGGGUGCGAGCGUUAAUCGGAAUUACUGGGCGUAAAGGGUGCGCAGGCGGUUUUGUAAGUCAGAUGUGGAAUCCCCGGGCUUAACCUGGGAACUGCGUUUGAAACUACAAAGCUAGA
rnacentral:rRNA from 1 species